rnacentral:lncRNA from 1 species
CGGAGGGCUCACCGCCCACCGUGCGCCCCCCGGAGCGGCCCGCCGCACCUACAGCGGAUUGGGAUCGAGGACCAGCGGUAGUGGCUGCAGCCCCCGACUCGGUGGUGAGCGACAGAACCAAGCAUGAGCAAACGCGGUGGAUACAGACCAUUGUGUUAAAGCACUGGAAGCAGCCAAGACGUUGGAUACCAUGUGUCAGAUCCUCAAAAAGUAAGAGUCAAAUUCACCUAGAUAGAAGCUAAACUAGUGGUUGCCUAAGGCUGGGGUGGGGCAGCAUGAGGAGACUGGGGUGA